UCCCCCGGCCCCGCCAAGAACAACCUCCGCACCGCCAUGAAGCAGGUUCCAGGUCGACCUCUUCCAGGACUAUCGAGAUCAAGCCCACCGAGGGCGACACGACGCUGACCUGGGACGUGAAGGUGUUGGGGUGGGACGUGAUGUACAAGGAGGAGUCUGUGCCGGCCGACGAUGGCGCCUACACCAUUGUGGUGAGCAAGGGCUUACAUUGAUUGGCUACAUAAAGGUUUGAAGCAGCCUACCCAACAAUAAAGGAGCUGGCUCUUGUUGGUACUCCUGGCUCUAAUGCUGUUUAGCCAGCAUCAUAGCAGCUUUUGCCAUUGGCUGUGAAGGCAAUUCAAGAAAAUAAUGCAGAGCUUGACAAGGAGGCCACUGAUGUGUUCAUUUGGUGCUUGACUUAGAGUCCAGAGUCCUACAAGCUGUGGGUGAGCGAUAUUUUUGUUUUCUUUGCCUUUGUACAACUCUGUCCCAUACAAGAAAGUGGCUCAGACUGAUGUUUAAUUUCUGUUUCCAGGACAAGCUUCAUGCAGAGAAUACCCAAGCUACAAUUUACUGCAAUUCACAUGUUUUGAAUUCUUCAAUCUUGAAUUGUUCAAUGAUGAUAGCUAUCUUGCACCGUUCUAUAAAAUCAUGGAUCGGCAACUAGCUGGUUUUCAAUCCGUUCUUGCUAGAUGUAUCGUUGUUUUUCUUCUUCUAAGAUAAGAUGGUAGCAUCACAAGUCAUCCUAUCAUGUUGUACUAGUUCCUGAAGUGUAAGAUAAGAUGGUGGCAUCAGAUGUGUGUUCUGACUUGUGGCUGCUUACUAGAUGGAUACAUGCAGCUAGCUAGCAACCUAGUAGUACUAGUAAGAAUAUAUGUGUUUAAUUCUCUCCCUAUACCUUGUGAUUGAUUCUAGGUAUAUACAGAUGCCAUCUCUGUCUGGCAACAUAUGGACCUGAUUACAUUCAGGUGCUCAUUGAGCUGUCUAAGAACAAGUAGAUCAUCAUUUCACCAUCUUCGGCCGCCCCAGGAUGCUGGCCUUCAUUCUUCAAAAGUUGGGUGUACAGGAACUCUAGGAAGA